rfam:Capsicum annuum cultivar Zunla-1 chromosome 4, whole genome shotgun sequence
CUCAUGGAGAGUUAGAUCCUGGCUCAGGAUGAACGCUGGUGGCAUGCUUAACACAUAUAAGUCAAACGUGAAACACGAGAAAUGGUGUUUCCAGUGGCGGAUGGAUGAACAACAGCUGGAAACGGCUGUUAAUACCCCGUAGGCUGAGGAGAAAAAGGAGGAAUCUACCCAAGAAGGGGCUCGCAUCUUAUUAGCUAGUUGGUGAGGCAAUAUCUUACCAAGACGAUGAUCAGUAGCUGGUCCAAGAGGAUGAUCAACCACACUAGUACUGAGACACGACCCAGAAUCCUACAGGAGGCAUCAGUGGGGAAUUUUCCGCAAUGGGCGAAAGCCUGAUGGAGAAAUGCCGCGUGGAGGUAGAAGGCCCAUGAGUCAUGAACUUCUUUUCCUGGAUAAGAAGAAAUGAAGGUAUCUGGGAAAUAACAAUCGUCUAACUCUAUGCCAGCAGCCGCGGUAAUACAGAUGAUACAAGCGUUAUCUAAAAUAAUUGGGCAUAAAGUGUCUGUAGGUGGCUUUUAAGUCCACCAUCAAAUCCCAGGGCUCAACCUUGGACAAGCAGUGGAAACUACCAAGCUAGAGUACGGUAGGGGCAGAGGGAAUUUCUAGUGAAGUAGUGAAAUGUGUAGAGAUCGAAAGAACACUAAUGGCGAAAACAAUCUGCUGGGCUGACACUGACACUGAGGGAUGAAAGCUAGGGGAGCAAAUAGGAUUAGAUACCCUAGUAGUCCUAACCAUAAAUGAUGGAUACCAGGCACUGUGUGUAUCGAUCCAUGAAAUAUUGUAGCUAAAGCGUUAAGUAUCUCGCCUGGGAAGUACGUUUGCAAGAAUGAAACCCAAAGGAAUUGAUGGGGGCCCGCACAAGUAGUGGAGCAUGUGGUUUAAUUUGAUGAAAAGCGAAGAACCUUACCAGGGCUUGACAUGCUGCAAAUCCUCUUGAAAGAGAGGUGUGCCUUCGGGAAUGUGGACACAGGUUGUGCAUGGCUGUCAUCAGCUCGUGCCGUAAGGUGUUGGGUUAAGUUCUUCAACAAGCGCAACACUCGUGUUUAGUUUCCAUCAUUGAGUUUGGAACCCUUAAAAGACUGUCGGUGAUAAGCCAGAGAAAGGUAAGGAUGACGUCAAGUCAUCAUGCCCCUUAUGCCCUGGGCAACACACGUACUACAAUGGCCAUGACAAAAGGUUGUGAUCCCGCAAGGGUGAGCUAACCCCAAAAACCCAUCCUUAGUUCAUAUUGUAGGCUGCAACUCGCUUGCAUGGAGCCAGAAUCACUAGUAAUCGGCGAUCAACCAUACGACGGUGAAUUCAUUCCCGGGCCUUGUUCUCUUAUGCUGGCACACUAUGGGAGAUGACCAUGCCCAAAGUCGUUAUCUUAACUGCAAGAAGGGGGAUGCUGAUGGCAGGGCUAGUGACCAAAGUGAAGUUAUAAUAAGGUAGCAAUACUAGAAGGUGCGGCUGGAUCACUUCUUUU